AAGUCGUAACAAGGUAUCCGUAGGUGAACCUGCGGAUGGAUCAUUAUGGAAUGGUUGGAUGAUUGUGAGUGGUUUUUUUGAGAUUGAGUGGUGUUGGUUGGGAUGCGAAGCAAGACAGCCAACAUUGCCCACGUUAAACUAUAUAAAUCUAACAUAAAUACACAUAACAAGAAACAACUUUUAGCAACGGAUCUCUUGGCUCUC
rnacentral:misc_RNA from 1 species